rnacentral:tRNA from 1 species
GAGUCAUUAGCUCAGCUGGUAGAGCAUCUGACUUUUAAUCAGAGGGUCAGAGGUUCGAAUCCUCUAUGGCUCA